rnacentral:lncRNA from 1 species
CAUGACCACAUCCCCUGGGUUGGCUCUCCCUGAUUAUCCUAAAGUCAUCCCGCUGCACCAGCAGCAUCUCUCAUUUCAAUAAACCCUUCUUUCUCUUCACCCCGCCAUGAGUCUGGAAAUUCUUCUUCCAGCCCACACGCAGGGACCAUGACAGGAUUUAUGUUGAAAUUACACUGAGAAGAAUCUCUGAAAGGUGAAACAAAACACAACUCUACAGGAGAAAACAAAGAGAUGUGCAAAUGCUCCCUGCUGCCCACCCCAUGGCAGUGAUUUGAAAGGUAAAAUGCCUGCACUGAGGUGCAAGCGUUGUAUGGUUAGAAUUUCAUUAGCUUGUCACAAACAGCCUGUCACCCUGAAAAUUAAAGUGAUGACUUUCUAGACUUGACAAAACAAACUCUCCCCUUAAUGAUGUGCCCUUUUCACUUUCUAGGGACCCUGUUAGCUGGCAACGUUACGAGGAACUUGUAUUGUUUUAACCUUUUCUUUUUCACCGUUUCUCUGACUGUUAAAUAUGAUUUUUCUCUUAAAAACCUGAAGCCAUAUAAACAGUAACCUUCUUUUGGGAGGCAUAAUAGAAUCCAGAUGGUGCAAAAGCACAUAAUCUGAUUCUCUCAGAAAAAAAAAAUCAGAGGAAAUUUAUGGUAAUAUUUUUAUAAUUAAAAAAGAAGCAAGGCGUUCCUGUUGUGGUGCAAUAGGUUGAGAACCUGAUGCAGAAGUUUGCGUUGUAGCUCAGUUGGUUAAAAACCCAACAUCGUGUCUGUGAGCACGCAGGUUUGUUCCCUGGGCCUUGCUCAGUGGGUUAAGGGUCCAGCAUUGCUCUGAGCUGUGCCGUAGGUGGUGAUGCACCUCAGAUCCUGCGUUGCUAUGUCUGUGGUGUUAGCUGACAGGUGCAGCUCCAAUUCAACCCCUAGCCUGGGCACUUCCCUAUGCUGGGGGUGUGGCCCUAAAAUGGAAAAACAGCAAAAAACAAAAAAGAGUCUGAUGCAGAGGAUUGUGUCACUUCAGAGGCACAAGUUCGAUCCCCAGCCCUGCACCGUGGGUUAUAGGCCCACACAGUAGGUUAAGGAUCCAGUGUUUCUGUAGCUGUGGUGUAGGUUGCAGCUGUGGCUCAGAGUCAUAUGGAAACUUCCAUAUGCUACAGGUGCAGCCACAAAAAAAACAAAAAAAGCCCAAAGAUUAGAGACUACUAAAUCCAUUCCAAAUAAUUACCUGUAAGUCUCUAUGACAAAUAUAUGUUUAUAUCAUUGUGAUAUUUUCCAGCCAAUAGGAGGUCAUUACUAUUUGAGCAGUCAUGAAUGAUUCAGAGACAAGAUUGCAUAUGGGAAUCCUUGUUUCUGAAUUCCAAAUUUGCCUCACUUCUUCUUGGACUUGACCCUGUAUUGUCCACCUCUGACCUGGCCCUGUGAUUUCUGAGUUGAAUGCUGCAGAGGUAAGGUCUCUUUUUAAAAUAUUGAAUGGCCACCUUCCCUGGAGGAUCAGUUUAUUGCUUUCCAUUUUCUCUGCUCAUAGAUGAUGUUUUAAAAAUAAAAAUAGGCUGGAUAAUUUUUUUUCAGGUAGAUUUCCCUGGAAAUGCACUUAUACCUGCAAAUGAACAUUCUCCACCACGUGGGUUUGCCAUUGCCCAGGACAAGGUUCCAGAAGCAGGGAAGUCUCAGCAUUCCUCUUGUGGCUCAGCAGCUUAAGAACCCAACUAGUAUCCAUGAGGAUUCAGGUUUAAUCACUGGCAUCGCUCCGUGGGUUAAGGAUCCAGCAUUGUUGCACCUGUGGUGUAGGUCACAGAUUUGGCUUAAAUCCCGUGUUCCCGUGGUUGUGGUAUAGUCCUGCCACUGCAGCUCUGGCUCGACCCCUAGCCUGGAAACAUCCAUAUGCUGCAGGUGUGGCCCUCAAAAAGAGAGAAGGAAAUAGGGAAGGCUCUUCCAAAUACCACAAUACGUUUUUAUAAAUCUAGGUUGUAGCCCCAGGCCUUUGGCAUGAUUGCAUUGUGGCUGUAGAUUUCCAUCAUGGAACUCUACUCUUUAAAACAUACUCCAGCUGUGUCUUAGGUCCAACCCAAUGUCUUCCAGCUAGAAAGUUGUAGCAUCUAGAUAUAUGACAUCACGUAUAUACACAGAGAAUCUUUAAAAAAAAAUGGAUACAAAUGAACUUAUUUACAAAACAGAAACAGACCCACAGACACAGAGAACAAACUUACUGUUACAGAAGACAAAGCUGGGGGGAGGCAUGCCCUAAGAGGAUGAGAUGAACAGAUACUAUUGUAUAUAAAACAGAUAACAAGGACCUACUCUACAGCACAGGAGACUAUAUCCAGUGUCAUGUAAUAAUAGCCUGUAGCGGAAAAGAAUCUGAAAAAGAACAUUUAUGUAUGUACGUAUAACUGAAUCACUUUGCUCUCCACUUGAAACUAACACAAUAUUGUAACUAUUCUUCAAUUUUAAAAAAUAGUUAAGAAAAGACAGGAUUGGAGUUCCCACUGUGGUGCAAUGUGCUCAGUGGUGUUUCUACCGCCAGGAUGCAUGUUCGAUCCCCUGCCUGGCACAGUGGGCACAGUGGGUUAAAGGAUCCCUUGCUGCCAUAGCUGUAGUGUAGGUCACACCUGUGGCUUGGCUUCAAGCCCUGGCCUGGGAACUUCCUCAGGUGUGGCAAUAAAAUGAUAAAAAAAAAAAAUUCUUUCCUCUUAUUAAAACAAGACAUAGUAUCUUAUAUGUCUCUUCAUGGAGGCAUACAACACCAAAAGAAAAACAGAACUGGCCAUUAUUUAUGGUUCUCUUUGGUUUUUGUUUUUUUGUUUUUCAGUAGAUGUGGUCACGCAAUGUACUUUAUAAUUGAUAAUACUCUAGAAUCUUCUAGAAUAAACUGAAAAACUGACCUCUGUGUCAUCACUCAGAGAAGAUCUGCUGAAUAAUAUUCGUAUUUAUUUGAGAGAAAGUUAAGGAGUCGAGAGCCGUCCUCUUCAUGGGAUGUUGAGAUAAUUUGAAUGGUGGCACAGUUUGGGAAUUUUAAGAAAUUAAAGGCAGAGAACACGUCCUACUGCCCACAUUUUCUUGGUCUUCAGGCUUUGCUGUCCUGAUCACCGUUUAUUGAGAGGCACCAAAGGGCAAACAAACAUGAGCUCAGCGAUCUGGUAAAAUAACCUGAUAAUCUAGGUGGCCCCUUCUUAAAUACGUUAAAUAUAGAUUUAACAGUUUUCAUAAUACCCUCAUGCCAUCGAGUUGACUUCAGCGAUUGAAGUGCUCUCAUUAAAGACAGAAUGUUCUAUCAACAGUACUGCGUUUUAGAAAGUGCCUGAUUUUUUUAAUUUUUUCAGGUGUUCUUUAUUUGAUUAAUUAACCACUUAGAGACGGGCAGAGAGGAAGAAAAAAAGUUCACGUCCCUAGGUAAUUAAGAGAUAUUCAAUCUUGGUGUAAUUAUCCAGCCCUUUUUUCCAAUUUAAUUUUAUUGGCGUACAAUUGACUUAUAAUGUUGUGUUAGUUUCAGGUGUCCAGCAAAGGGAAUCAAUCAUACAUAUAUCUCUUCUGUUUUCCCAUAUAGGUUAUUACAAACUGUUGAGUAGAACUUCCUGUGCUAUAAGUUGAUUCUCAUUAAUCGUGUAUUUUAUACAGUAGUGCGAGUAUGUUUUUCCCACCCUCCGAAUUCUUACCUCCCCCCAACAGUUUCACCUAUGGUAACCUUAAGAUUGGUUUUGAAAUCUGUGAGUUUCUGUUUUAUAAAUAAAUUCCUUUCUAUCAUUUUUAUUGGAUACACAUAAAAGUGAUAACGUGGUGUUUGUCUUUCUCUUUCUGACUGACUUCACUUAAUAUGAUUAUUUCUAGUUUCCUCCACGUUGCUGCAAAUGGAAUUACUUCAUUCUUUUUCAUGGCUGAGUAAUAUUCCAUGGCAUAUAUGUACCACAUCUUCUUUAUCCAUUCCUCUGUCAUGGACAUUUAGGUUGCUUCCAUGUCUUGGCUGUUAUAAAUAAUUACCCGGCCAUUUUUAAAACCUACUUUUUCCUCAGCAAUUUCUUAGUGACUCUUUUUCUUUUUAUAUCUGCACCUGUGGCAUAUGGAAGUUCCUGGGCUAGAGGUCAAAUUGGAACUGUAGACGAGGCCUAUGACACAGCCACAGCUACAGCAACACUGAUCCCAGCUGCAUCUGGGACCUAGGCUGCAGCCUGUGGCAACUCCAGAUCCUUAGCCCACUGAGCAAGGCCAGGGAUUGAACCCCCUCCCUCACACAGAUGUCAGGUCCUUAACCCUCUGAGCCACAGUGGAACUCCACUUUCUUAGUGAUUCUUGAUUUCUCAUCUAUGUAAAGUAAAGGUCUGUAUUCUCAAAAUCUAUAGAGUUUGAGAAAAUUAUUUAGGGGUUGAAGGCGAUAGUGUUUUAGGCUAAUUUUGAGAAUCUUGAGUAAAAGGGCAAGAGGAAAAAUACUUAAGGGUGCAUAACAUUGUAAAUCAACUAUACUUUAAUAAAAACAUAAAAAUCAGGAGUUAAAUUAAAACAGUAAAAAUCAGGCGUUCUCAUCAUGGCGCUGCAGAAAUGAAUCUGACUAGGAACGAUGAGGUUGCAAGUUCGAUCCCUGGCUUCGCUCAGUGGGUUAAGGAUCCGGCAUUGCCAUGAGUUGUGGUGUAGGUCGCAGACAUGGCUCAGAUCCUGCAUUGCUGUGGCUAUGGUGUAGGCAGGCAGCUGUAGCUCCGAUUGGAUUCCUAGCCUGGGAACUUCCAUAGGCUGCAGGUGCAGCCCUAAAAAGCAAAAUAAAUAAAUAAUAAAGUAAGUAAUUAAAAAUCAUUGCAAUUCUCACUUUAAAAAUUGUAUAAAAAUUUUUAAAAAUAAAAUAAAAAUCACAACACUGUAAAACAAUUGUAAGAAAAAAAUAAAAAUAAAAA